UUCAAGUGUGUGAAGGAGCUUCUAUGACCCCAGAUUGUCAGACGAGUGCUCCCAAUACCUUGUUGUGCUUACACAACAUUGUACUUGAAUACUCAAUGAGUAUCAUAGUUCAAAUAGCAAAUAUCAAUACUCAAGCUCAUAUUUCCGAGGCUUCAGAUUGUUCCUCCAGUUGGAAAGGAAAGGAGAUAUAUGGCUGGAUGGCUGGAUGAUCCUAAAAUGUCCCAUUUCUAAUUCAGACACAAAUGAUGAAGUGUUGGAGAAAAUAUGAAGGUACUACAGGUAACUUUCCUAUCACAAUGGAUGUCAGAGGAUGCUUCCACAAAUGGCAGAUCUUUAUCCAUCAGAAAAACUCAAGGCAGCUAACAAAAGAAACAUGCAAUACCAAGAGGUCCAAACAGGCCAGUGGAAAGGACCUCAUUCUCUCUCCCUCUGCUAUGUUGGCCCAUGGUGAAGUCCAAGGGGCAAGGUGCUUGGUGACAGCUGGCCAUGGCAGAUGGAUGAAAAGGGCCACAAUGUUCUUCUGCUGAGUAGCCAAGCAGAUGACUUCCUCUGUGUGUGCUGUUUGCCUUUCUAAGCAUUCAGCCUAUCCAGUUACAAAUGAACAGUUUCAGAAAGAUCUGAUGAUUUUGAGCCAAAGCUCCAGAAGUGCUCUAACAUAGUACUGCACUGUAUGGAGAAGUCCUUGCAGAAGUUCCACACAUACACACAUACUUCAGAGAUCCCAUGUAUACAAGAUGUUUCCAGUCAAGCACUGUAGAUUGUCUCCAAAGAAAGCUGAUAUUGUAAUGGCUUGCCUGUUUUGACUGCCUAUAAGCAAAAUUAUAUUUACUUAAAGAGCCAAUACUAUUCUAAAGUUCCUUAUUUCUCCUCACAACAUUCCUGUAAGGCAGGCCUGCUCAACUUCACUCCACCCCAGCUGUUUGGGACUACAACUCCCAUAAUCCCCAGCUAAGUGGCCAAUAGCCAGGGAUCAUAGGAGUUGCAGACCAACAUCUGCAGGAGGGCCAAAGAUGAGCAGCCCUGCUGUGAUCAUUUUAAUUUCAAUUUUAUAUUAAAUGGCCAUGACUGUUUUAAUUGUUAAUUGUUAUAUAUUGUUUUAUAAUUUUUGUUUUCAUUGUUAACUGGUUUUAAUGGAUUUGUUUUUAAUUGUAAACAGCCGUGAGCCAUUUUGGA